rnacentral:rRNA from 1 species
GAUGAACGCUGGCGGCGUGCCUAAUACAUGCAAGUCGAGCGAACAGACGAGGAGCUUGCUCCUCUGACGUUAGCGGCGGACGGGUGAGUAACACGUGGAUAACCUACCUAUAAGACUGGGAUAACUUCGGGAAACCGGAGCUAAUACCGGAUAAUAUAUUGAACCGCAUGGUUCAAUAGUGAAAGACGGUUUUGCUGUCACUUAUAGAUGGAUCCGCGCCGCAUUAGCUAGUUGGUAAGGUAACGGCUUACCAAGGCAACGAUGCGUAGCCGACCUGAGAGGGGGGUCGGCCACAGUGGAACUGAGACACGGUCCAGACACCUACGGGAGGCGGCAGGAGGGAAUCUUCCGGAAGGGGCGAAAGUCUGACGGAGCAAUGCCGCGGGAGUGAUAAAGGUCUUCGGAUCGUAAAACUCUGUUAUUAGGGAAGAACAAAUGGGUAAGUAACUAUGCACGUCUUGACGGUACCUAAUCAGAAAGCCACGGCUAACUACGUG